ACUGGUCGAGUCGGCCUGCGCGGAAGAUGUAACGGGGCUAAACCAUGCACCGAAGCUGCGGCAGCGACGCUGAUGCGUUGUUGGGUAGGGGAGCGUUCUGUAAGCCUGUGAAGGUGGCCUGUGAGGGUUGCUGGAGGUAUCAGAAGUGCGAAUGCUGACAUAAGUAACGAUAAAGCGGGUGAAAAGCCCGCUCGCCGGAAGACCAAGGGUUCCUGUCCAACGUUAAUCGGGGCAGGGUGAGUCGACCCCUAAGGCGAGGCCGAAAGGCGUAGUCGAUGGGAAACGGGUUAAUAUUCCCGUACUUGGUGUUACUGCGAAGGGGGGACGGAGAAGGCUAUGUUGGCCGGGCGACGGUUGUCCCGGUUUAAGCGUGUAGGUGUGUGUUCCAGGUAAAUCCGGUUCACUUUAACACUGAGGCGUGAUGACGAGGCACUACGGUGCUGAAGCAACAAAUGCCCUGCUUCCAGGAAAAGCCUCUAAGCAUCAGGUAACAUCAAAUCGUACCCCAAACCGACACAGGUGGUCAGGUAGAGAAUACCAAGGCGCUUGAGAGAACUCGGGUGAAGGAACUAGGCAAAAUGGUGCCGUAACUUCGGGAGAAGGCACGCUGACACGUAGGUGAAGUGAUUUACUCAUGGAGCUGAAGUCAGUCGAAGAUACCAGCUGGCUGCAACUGUUUAUUAAAAACACAGCACUGUGCAAACACGAAAGUGGACGUAUACGGUGUGACGCCUGCCCGGUGCCGGAAGGUUAAUUGAUGGGGUCAGCGCAAGCGAAGCUCCUGAUCGAAGCCCCGGUAAACGGCGGCCGUAACUAUAACGGUCCUAAGGUAGCGAAAUUCCUUGUCGGGUAAGUUCCGACCUGCACGAAUGGCGUAAUGAUGGCCAGGCUGUCUCCACCCGAGACUCAGUGAAAUUGAACUCGCUGUGAAGAUGCAGUGUACCCGCGGCAAGACGGAAAGACCCCGUGAACCUUUACUAUAGCUUGACACUGAACAUUGAGCCUUGAUGUGUAGGAUAGGUGGGAGGCUUUGAAGUGUGGACGCCAGUCUGCAUGGAGCCGGCCUUGAAAUACCACCCUUUAAUGUUUGAUGUUCUAACGUGGACCCGUGAUCCGGGUUGCGGACAGUGUCUGGUGGGUAGUUUGACUGGGGCGGUCUCCUCCUAAAGAGUAACGGAGGAGCACGAAGGUUGGCUAAUCCUGGUCGGACAUCAGGAGGUUAGUGCAAUGGCAUAAGCCAGCUUGACUGCGAGCGUGACGGCGCGAGCAGGUGCGAAAGCAGGUCAUAGUGAUCCGGUGGUUCUGAAUGGAAGGGCCAUCGCUCAACGGAUAAAAGGUACUCCGGGGAUAACAGGCUGAUACCGCCCAAGAGUUCAUAUCGACGGCGGUGUUUGGCACCUCGAUGUCGGCUCAUCACAUCCUGGGGCUGAAGUAGGUCCCAAGGGUAUGGCUGUUCGCCAUUUAAAGUGGUACGCGAGCUGGGUUUAGAACGUCGUGAGACAGUUCGGUCCCUAUCUGCCGUGGGCGCUGGAGAACUGAGGGGGGCUGCUCCUAGUACGAGAGGACCGGAGUGGACGCAUCACUGGUGUUCGGGUUGUCAUGCCAAUGGCACUGCCCGGUAGCUAAAUGCGGAAGAGAUAAGUGCUGAAAGCA
rnacentral:rRNA from 1 species